GCAACCCUUGUCCUUAGUUACCAGCAACGUUAUGGUGGGCACGUCUAAGGAGACUGCCGGUGACAAACCGGAGGAAGGUGGGGAUGACGUCAAGUCAUCAUGGCCCUUACGGCCUGGGCUACACACGUGCUACAAUGGUCGGUACAAAGGGUUGCCAAGCCGCGAGGUGGAGCUAAUCCCAUAAAACCGAUCGUAGUCCGGAUCGCAGUCUGCAACUCGACUGCGUGAAGUCGGAAUCGCUAGUAAUCGUGAAUCAGAAUGUCACGGUGAAUACGUUCCCGGGCCUU
rnacentral:rRNA from 1 species